UACAGAGGGUGCAAGCGUUGUUCGGAAUUAUUGGGCGUAAAGCGCGUGUAGGCGGUUUGUCGCGUCUGCCGUGAAAGUCCGGGGCUCAACUCCGGAUCUGCGGUGGGUACGGGCAGACUAGAGUGAUGUAGGGGAGACUGGAAUUCCUGGUGUAGCGGUGAAAUGCGCAGAUAUCAGGAGGAACACCGAUGGCGAAGGCAGGUCUCUGGGCAUUAACUGACGCUGAGGAGCGAAAGCAUGGGGAGCGAACAGG
rnacentral:rRNA from 1 species